AGCAAAAAGUCCAAUGAUAUGCACAACUAGCCUUGCACUGAUCACUCCAACUUCCAAAUAGUACUGUAGGAGAAUAGCAAAGACAUCAUAGAAUUUGAUAAAGUAUUAACUCUGCUGAAAAUAAUUAAAACUGAACAUGCUGAUGAUCUGCACAACUAAGUCUUCCAUGAACCACUCAAAAGCUCUGGUGAACUGCAUUUCAAUGGUAAACAUCAUAGUGUAAAUGCUGAAAAACACAACAAAUCAAGGGCCAUAACUAUGCUGAAAAUCAGUGAACCAGAACAUGCCAAUAAUAUUCAUAAUAAGGCCUGGCUCUGAUCACUUGUGUAAGAUUUGGUGGAAAUCCACCCAAUGAUAUAAGAUAUGUGACUGAAAUGAACAUGACAGAUUUUAUUAAGGGUAAUGAUCUGACCAAGUUUCAUUAAGAUAGAGCUGAACUUCUGAUAUCUAGAGUAAUAACAAUCAAAUUGUUUAUGAAUAUAGAUGACGAUGCACACUGGAUGAUCAGAAUAGCUGACCUUCAACACUUUGUGCUCAGGUGAGCUAAAAAACCGCAGCUAAGUAAUUAAAUUGCUGAUUGAGCAAAGUGUCCCCGAUAGUGCUCUAGGUACGGAACAAAUUAUGGAAAAAGAUGUUCCUGUUUGUGAAGAAAGCACCAAAAUUUACCUGCAGUUACUUAACACAUCCCAAAUCCUACAAGAGGAGACAUGUUCUGUCUGCACUGGAAACCUCUUUUAAAGUAAUUUUAACAAGAGCACCACCUUGUGGGUGCAGAUGCUCAUCUGAUUUUUUUUUGUCUCUGUAUAAUAGAAAUAUUGUCCUACCCAUGAUUUUCUAAGUCCAAAAUGGGCCAUAAUUCUUUCAAAAAGCAGGAUGGAGUUAUGUUUCUUGCUGUACAUAGUCAGCUUUUGAUGGUGAACAAGUGUUGCAAGUUCCAAAACAAUAGCUUUAAUAGUCGAGGAGAACAGUUGACCUAAACAUAAAACUUUACCAAGAAAUCUGAUAUUUUCUAAGUCCAAAAUGGGCCAUAAAGGACGCUGUAUUGAAAACUGUCUUGUAGAAAUCGUAUCUUGGAUGAACAGCAAAAUGUUGAAAAUCAAUGCCGAAAAAACUGAAGUCGUUGUAUUUACCUCUCAAAGAAACGAAAAACAUAUUGAAUCGAUUACUGUGAAAAUUGGAGAAGAGAACAUUAAACCAUCUAAAUGUGUAAGGAAUCUUGGUGCUUUGCUAGACUCCAAAAUGAGCAUGGAAAAACAUGUUAACUCAGUUAGUAGAUGAGGGUACAGACAGGUACGUCAAAUAGGCCACAUCAGGAAAUAUCUAAAUACAGAUGCUACAAAAUCUCACGCCUUGAUUAUUGCAAUGCGCUCUUGUAUGGUGUUCCGAAGGUCCUGCUGAAUAGACUUCAAACACUUCAGAACACUGCAGCUCGAAUUAUGAGAAUAUCGCACAUACAAAGCAUUGCAUAACCAAUCACCGAUCUAUGUUAAAGACUUGCUGGAACUCUUAUCAGCCAGCAAGAAAUUUGAGAUCCAAGAACAACUCAAAACAACUAGUUGUCCCAAAAAGCAAAACUGAGGUACAGUGAUCGUAGUUUUUCAUCAGCUGCACCAAAGUUAUGGAAUGCUCUUCCAGCUACCAUUAGAGACGCUAAAUGCUUGGAUGCUUUGAAACGAUCAUUGAAAACACUUUUUCUUCAACUCACUUUGCACUGAAAAACAAGUUUUGCCAUGGAAAUUAUUUCCUAUUGUUUAUUGUUCUUUAAAAUAUCUAGUACAAUUAAAAUGUAGAGUGAAACCUGAUUCAGGCUAAAUACCUUUCAUUGUUGAUAUAUUUUUUGUGUUGUAUUGUAUGUCCAUAUCAUUCUGUGAUAUGUAGUUUGUACAGCACUUUUGAACGUUUAUUUUAUAGAUGAAAAGAGCGCUAUAAAAAUCUGGUAAAUAGUAAAAAGCGGGAUGAGAUAUGUGUCUUGCUGUACAGAGUCAGUUUUUGAUGGUGAACAAGUGUUGCAAGUUUUAAAGCAAUAUAGCUUUAAUAGUUUAGGAAAAAAGCUGACCUAAACAUAAAAUUUAACCAAGAAAUCUGAUUUUGUAAGUCCAAAAGGGGCCAUAAUUCUUGCAAAAAGCAGGAUAGAGUUAUGUUUCUUGCUGUACAGAGUCAGCUUUUGAUAGUGAACAAGUGUUGCAAGUUUUAAAACAAUAGCUCUGAUAGUUUAGGAGAAAAGCUGACCUAAACAUAAAACUUAACCAGGCAAUGCACACGCCAAUCAAGUGAUCUUUUUUCUUUCUUUUUUUUUCUUUUCAGAAAAUCAGAUGAGCUAAAAAGGGAGCUAAAAAUGUCCUGAAAAAAAGAAGUGCUCAAGGUGAGCUAUUGUGACUGGUCAUUGUAGAGGCCACAUUUGUGAACCAAUCUUUAUGAAACUUGGUCAGAAUGUUAGUCUUGAUGAUCUCUAGGAAAAGUUUGAAACUGGGUCAUAUGGGGUCAAAAACUAGGUCUGUAGGCCAGAUCAAAGGAAAAGCUUGUGAACACUCUAGAGGCCACAGUUGUGGCCCAAUAUUUAUGAAACUUAGUCAGAAUGUUUGUCCUGAUGAUUUAAAGGUCAAGUACAAAUCUGGGUCAUGUAGGGUCAAAACCUAGGUCACAUGGUCAAAUCAAAGGAAAAGCUUCUAAACACAGAGGCCACAGCUGAGACUCAGUCUUUAUGAAACUUGGUCAGAAUGUUUGACUUGAUGAUUUCUAGGUAAAGUUUGAAACUGGCUUAUGUGAGGUCAAAAGCUAGGUCACUAGGCCAGAUCAAAGGAAAAUCUUGUCAACACUCUAGAGACCACAAUUUAAGUUUGAAACUCAUGAGAAUUAGUCAGAAUGUUUGUCAUAAUCUAUAGGCCAAGUUUGUAUCUGGGUUAUGUGGAGUCAAAAACUAGGUCACCCAGUCAAAUCAAUAAUUAUAAUUAAACAGUCUUGGAAAUAGGAUCAGAUGAUUUUUUAAGUAUUUUUCCUAUAUAACUCACAUAAUAUAGAGACCGUACUUAGUGGUCUGUGCGUAAAUUUUAUUUCAUAAAAGAUGAAAGUUACGUGCACACCAGUUUAUUCGGUCUCUGAUUUCUGGUUUAUUUUGACGUUUGGGAAAGAAAGUUGAUGUUGAAUUUUACAUGUGAUGUAGUGGAUUCUUCUGGCUGUCAGCGAUAUUUGAUACUUGUAGUGUUUGGAGAGAAGUAUAACUUUCUAUGAAUCAAUAACGAUUUAUUCGAAUAAAUGUUAGAAAUAUAAAAAAGACUCGUAAACUGAGACGUGUUACUCUUUACUUUUAUUUGGGAUAGUUCAGUGGUGACAAGUGACUGAAAUACAAGUUUAAAGACUUUAACGAAUAUUUACUGGUACUGCCAGUUUUGAAGUGUAUGUACUGAAUAAAUUGUGUAGAAAAAUUGAGAGAAAAGGGACCUCAGAUUCAAUUAAAAAAGUUGCAUUAUAUAUUCAGUUACAAAAUAUGGUCGUAAGUUUACAGGAGUUGCUUCCCUUCAUGUAUUUGUUUUAACAUUAAGAAAUUAAUCAAAGUUGUAUCUUUGUAAGUAUUUUACAGUUAGAUUUAUGAAUACAGUAUUAUUCUAUACUUACAUCAUUUGAAAGCAUUUAUUAUUUCUUUGAAUGAUUUAAAAUAAAACUUAUCUUAUGAUAUCUUGAUAUCAUUUUUAUACGCCCAAAGGGACGUAUUAUGUUAUAACGCUGGUGUCCGUCUGUCCGUCCGUCUGUCUGUCUGUUAGCAAUUUCCUGUCCGCUCUGUAACUCUUGAACCCCUUGAAGGAUUUCAAGGCAACUUGACACAAAUGUUCACCACACCCAGACGACGUGCAGAGCGCAUGUUCCGGAUGUCUCGCUUCAAGGUCAAGGUCACACUUAGGAGUCAAAGGUCAUAUCAGUUUGUUUCGUGUCCGCUCUGUAACUCUUGAACCCCUUGAAGGAUUUCAAAGAAACUUGACACAAAUGUUACCACACCCAGACGACGUGCAGAGCGCAUGUUCCGGAUGUCUCGUUUCAAGGUCAAGGUCACAAUUAGGAGUCAAAGGUUGUAUCAGUUUGUUUCGUGUCCGCUCUGUAACUCCUGAAUUGCUGGAAGGAUUUCAAAGAAACCUGGCAGAAAUGUUCACCACAUUGCAACGAUGUGCAUAGCGCAUGUUUCGGAUGACUCGCUUCAAGGUCAAGGUCACACUUAAGGGUCAAAUGUUAUAUAUGACUUUGCUUUGUGUAUAUUGCUCUGCACUGCAGUGCUCUUGUUUUUAUUUGGCAGAUCUCUUUUUUUGUACUUACAAUAAUUUUUUUGGAAUUACUUCCCUUUUAUGUUACUAUAAAUAGCUUAUUUUGAAACUUUUUUAUUAUUGGCCGUAGGGAAAAACCGAGACCACUUUUCUGUGGUACAACAUGGAUGGUACCUCCAAUUUUAAGGUGUAUUUUUACAUACCUGUACCUGAUAAGGAUUUUUUUUGUAGACUUUGAAUUUUUUUUUUGUGGACUUAGAUUUGUUUUUUGAAGUUUUCCUUUUGUUGUUCCAGUCCUUUGGGGCUUCAACAGUCAAGUUCUUAAAAUUUUGCUCCCGUCCUAUGAUGCAAGCCUUCGGGCGUAUAUUGCCCCGCUUGGCGGCGCUCUUGUUAUAUUUCAGACUGCUUCACAUAUCGUCAUUGGAUAUUGUGUUUUGUUCUCAUUUUGAAGCAAGGUGAUGUGAAGAACUCUCAUAUACAUCUAUACUGUUGUGGAUUCCUUAACGUGUAAGAAAAUGUUGGAAGAAAAAAUAUUGUUCUGAACAGUUAUGAAGGCUGUAACAUGUGAAUAUUAUGAGUGCUGACAAGACCUGAAAGAUUUUGAAUUAUUAAGGUUUGGAGACAGCUAAGGAAGUGUUUUGGGAAGACCAUCCCUCUGUGUUGUAUGGGAGAAUAAAUUUCAGUGAGAAAUGAAGACCACAGGUACACAAAAGGAAAGAAGUUUUUGAUGCAAGACUCUAAGAAAAUUGGUUGCCCUGCGAGAUGGGUAUUUAGGGAAAUAUGCAGGUUCCCCAAAUUUACGAUAGAUAAAGAUACACCUAAAAGUCAAAGACGCAAGAUUGCAGAAGACCUUCAGAGUAAAAUUCGUUCUGGAGAAAAUGUUGUUUCUGAGUGGGUGGUUAUAGCCCAUAUGGCUAGCAUUGAGGACCACACCUGCCAUACUUUGGGCGAAUAUGGCUCCAGUUCAUUUAUCAGUCCGCAGAGCAGAAGCGGUUGUUACAACGUUACGGGAGUACAGUUUUCCUAGAUGUGACAUACAAAACUACUCUUUAUGACUUGCCAUUGUUUUUUUUGGCUGUAAAAACCAACGUGGAUUACCAAGUUGUAGGUACGUUCCUGACAGAGGAUGAGACUAUUGUAUCAAUAUCUGAAGCUCUCCAGAUCAUCCGCAGCAAUUUGCCAGAAUUUCAACCAGCAUUUUUCAUGACUGACUUUGAUGAGUCUUCAAUAUCUGCAGUGGAAAAUGUCUUCACUGGUACAACAGUCCUGAUAUGUGAUUUCCACUGUAACCAGGCUUGGGAGAGGUGGACAAGAAAAAGGGAAAACUCUUUAGGGCAUGGACCUGAAAUACGCUCUCAUCUGCAGAAGCUGGCAACUGCUUCUAAUGUAGACAGCUUCCAAGCUGCUUUACAGACACUGCAGACUUCAGAGCUUUGGAAGGGCAGCUGUAGACUUCAGAAUUAUUUGCAGAAAGUUUGGCUUCCUUACAAGAAGGUAACUUUCCUGUUACUGAUUACAACAGUGUGGUAUUUUGGUAAAAAUACAUGUUUCAUUUAAAGAGAUAGAGGAUAUUUGUUUGUUUCGGUGUAAGAUCUAAAAUUUAUUUCAGGAAGU